AACACGUGGGUAACCUGCCUGUAAGACUGGGAUAACUCCGGGAAACCGGGGCUAAUACCGGAUAACUCAUUUCCUCGCAUGAGGAAAUGUUGAAAGAUGGCUUCUUGCUAUCACUUACAGAUGGACCCGCGGCGCAUUAGCUAGUUGGUGAGGUAACGGCUCACCAAGGCGACAAUGCGUAGCCAACCUGAGAGGGUGAUCGGCCACACUGGGACUGAAACACGGCCCAAACUCCUACGGGAGGCAGCAGUAGGGAAUCUUCCGCAAUGGACGAAAGUCUGACGGAGCAACGCCGCGUGAGUGAUGAAGGUUUUCGGAUCGUAAAACUCUGUUGUUAGGGAAGAACAAGUACCGUUCGAAUAGGGCGGUACCUUGACGGUACCUAACCAGAAAGCCACGGCUAACUACGUGCCAGCAGCCGCGGUAAUACGUAGGUGGCAAGCGUUGUCCGGAAUUAUUGGGCGUAAAGCGCGCGCAGGUGGUUUCUUAAGUCUGAUGUGAAAGCCCACGGCUCAACCGUGGAGGGUCAUUGGAAACUGGGGAACUUGAGUGCAGAAGAG
rnacentral:rRNA from 1 species